ACCAACACAGCAAAAAGCAGCUACAAGAAGUCACAUCGGCAAUUGCAUUCUUAUCUCUUCGGAGCUUCAAAGGUUAAUCUGAUGAUUGUUUCACAUCAGCUAACACAUCUACAAGAUAAUUACAGUACAGAAAUGAUUGUUUCACAUCAGCUUCAAAGGCAAUAUGACAUUUGGUCAUAUUCACCCAAGACUUGACUGUGGUUAGAGAAGCUUCUCUCAUGAUGAUGGCUGCCACAGUGGGUACUGUUGUUGGCCAGCAUAGGUUAGAAAGACCAAACUCCAUAUGCAAU
rnacentral:lncRNA from 1 species